CUUCUUUCUGGGCAGGCAAAUUCAUCUAGUGUCUCUUCUACACACUGCAUAAUUAGAACAACUCUGAAGUAUCAUUUCUCAGGUUGUCUGUAAAGAGCAGGAUUUUACAUUAUAAGCCUUACCCAAAUAAUAGGCAUUGUAAAGGAGGAAAGAACACCCUGCGUAGGAAGACCUGCUACAUGGAGGCAGACUGAAUUGCUAUAUACCUCCAGCAGCAGACAAUUAUAGAUGCUCACAGAAGUCAGUAAAUCACAUUCUGCUUAGAAAACCACUCUGGAGAUAUGACAAGAGGAUUGAAGUUGAGCUGGCACAGCUUCACUUCUGCUCAAACCUUCUCUAUGAAAACCUAAUAUACACUAAAACAAAUGGAACCUGCAGACUUAUUGGCAAAAUGAAAGAAAAAAGGAGACAAAUGAUGAAAUAUCAAAAAGAUGGUGGCAAGAAAAGAGAAACACCACACUCCAGAGAAGUGCAGGAUAAUUUGUCUAUGCACAUGGCUUUAGAGAACAUCAGCUUCUACAGUGGAACUAAGUGUGUCCCCAGGAAGCAAAAUUAG
rnacentral:lncRNA from 1 species